rnacentral:rRNA from 1 species
GAGAGAAGGAACACCAGAAUAUUAUCGAGGAGAGACGCGUCAGGAGGUUCGACCAGAGGCUAUUCGAAGAAACUCAAGAUUGCUGUGCCUUACAAACCGGGCUUUAACGUAUUUGUGAAUGCAACUACUGAAAAAGUCACUGGCUACUGCAUUGACGUCUUUGAGGCUGCCGCGAAGAACCUACCACAUGUUCUUGAUUACCACUUCGUUGUAGUCGACGGUUUGUAUGACCAACUAGUACGCAAUGUGUCUUCAGGGAUCUUCGAUGCAGCAGUGGGUGACAUAACCAUAACUGCUGAGCGAGCUGUUCAUGUGGACUUCACGAUGCCAUACAUUGAGUCGGGCGUGUCAUUGCUUGUGCUCAACGAGGAUGACUCCAAGCCAACAAUUGAAUGGGUCUUCUUAAAGCCACUGACAAUGGAACUUUGGCUAGCAAUUGUGGGUGGCUUCUUUCUCACUGGAAUAGUUGUGUGGAUGAUUGAGCGGCCUAAAAACCUGGAGUACCAAGGAUCGAGUUCGAGACAGUUCAGCACCGCUCUGUACUUUUCUUUCUCUACUUUGACAUUUUCUCAUGGUCAAAUUAUUAGAAGCCCUCUGUCAAAAAUUGUUGUGAGCUACACAGCUAGCUUAUCAUCCAUUCUGACUGCAAAGAGGCUCCGUCCUUCUGUGACAAAUCUUGGUCAGCUCCUGUCAAAUGGUGAUUAUAUUGGAUACCCAUCUGGAUCAUUUGUAUAUUCUGUCUUGAAAAAACAAGGCUUCACCGAAAAUAGGUUAAAGGCUUAUGCGAUGGAAGAGGAAUAUGCUAAUGCUUUGAGAAAGGGCUCAAAGAAUGGAGGCGUCGCGGCUAUAGUUGAUGAGAUCCCCUAUUUAACCUCUUUUCUCUCUGACCCUCGAUAUCAUAACGAGUUUCAGAUGGUUAACGGCUUAUAUAAGACACCUGGAUUUGGUUUUGUGUUUCCACAAGAUUCUCCACUGGUACAUAGUCUUUCAGUUGCCAUCUUGGGCCUGAUAGGUGGGGAUGAGGGAUCACGAAUUGAAGCGAAAUGGUUAGGCACAGCAACACCAUUGCCGAGUUAUGGUAUCCCCAACACAGAUGCCACACCUCUCACUUUGCGAAGUUUCUCUGGUCUCUUCAUCAUCACCAUAUGUAUCUCAGCUCUCAUGCUGUUGAUAAGGAUUGCCAAGUUGGUUCAUGCCAAAUACACCAAAGUGAGGGAUUCUGAUAUGCAGAGUGCCAAUGGGGAUGGUGGAAGUGAAGGCCACGCAGGAUCUGUUCCGCUGCAGAACGACAUGGACGAUGGGCCUAUGGCUGAUCAACCCCACCAUGAAGCCAGAAAUGAGGAUCCCCAGGUUGUCAGUGGGAUCGGAGAAAGUCCUGGUGAUGUAGAGCCCAAUGGCUAUGUGCCUGAACACGCCAUCCUAAUCGAGAUGAGCACUCGAUGA